rnacentral:rRNA from 1 species
UACGAAGGGGGCUAGCGUUGCUCGGAAUGACUGGGCGUAAAGCGUGCGCAGGCGGUUUUGUAAGCCAGAUGUGAAAUCCCCGGGCUUAACCUGGGAAUGGCAUUUGGGACUGCAAGGCUUGAGUGCGGCAGAGGAGACUGGAAUUCCUGGUUGUAGCGGUGAAAUGCGCAGAUAUCAGGAGGAACACCGGUGGCGAAGGCGGGUCUCUGGGCCGAUACUGACGCUGAGGAGCGAAAGCGUGGGGAGCGAACAGG